UCUUACCAGGAUCCAUGACUUUAAUAACCACUUACAUACAGAAGAAAAGAAAAAGGGUCAUGUUAAGAACCAAUUACGUGAGAGAUGAUGAGAUCCUAGAGGUAAAAGUGACUCAUAUGUUAAAGGAAGAAAUAAUUCAAGCCACGUGGAUACAAAUCAGGAAGUAAACUUUCACCAGAAACUGGAUCUCCUGGCACCUUGGUCCUGGACAUGUUAGCCUCUGGAAUCAUGAGAUGACAUCGACACAGCCUUUUCUCCAGCAACCAUCUGGUCGCUGCUGCAUCUGCUUCAUCUGAUCUUAGAUACACAGCAUGGGCAUCAAGGGACGGAGUUCCACUCUGCAGAGGAAGAAGUCUUUUGAAAAUGCCAAGGGACACUCCUGGGUGAUGACUAUGUGCUAUUCCCCGUGGGAAAAAUGACAGUUCAACAAUGGGGUGGAUCAGGCCCAGAACAAACAUCCUCAUCAGCUCCCUUUGGUGGAGCCCCUGUAUGUGGGAGUAGGACUGGUUUUAAUCCCCCUAAAACAAUUCUCUGACAUGCAUGGGUCAGAGCUGUUACAGCUGGGGCAGUCUCCAGGGUUCAUCUAAUCCUUCCCUCUCAUUUUGUAAAAGAAGAAACCCACAUCUCAUAUGUAUGGGUGUGUUCUAAAUUAGAUAGUUUAAAAUUGGCAAAGAGGCAGAAAACCCAGUCUCCCUGCUCCAGGCCCAUAUUGUGUGUGUGUGUCGGGGGAGGGGGAUGUGUGUGAGUACACAUAUACAUACCUUAUAUGCCCUUACGUAAUUCUAGGCUAUGAUAAGAAAUGGGAUAAGCAUCUGGGUAAGGUGGGGCAGUGUGCACCUAUAAUCUUAAAUCUUAGCACUCGGAAGGCUGAGGUAGGAUGAUUAUGAGUUUGAAGUCACCCUGUCCAUCAUAGCAAGAUUCCAUCUCAAAGCAGAAAGAAACAAACUAAGACUAAGAGAAAUUCUAGAUUUUUAGCUCUUACUCAGCAGGUCUUUCACCUACUGGUUUACCACCAACAAAAGUGAAAGAAAUCUCCAUUCCGAAGCUCCAGUGUGUGGGCAGUGGCCGACAAGUUGACCCUGGGGUUGGCCUUAUGGAUGCUGAGUGGAGCUGAGCUUGAGGGCAAGUGGGGAGACCUCAGGGCUGGUGCGGAAGCAUCUCUGGUUUCUUAGUCUGCAGAGCUGGGCAGGUGCUGGUCACCCUGUGGCUUGCUGGCCUCAAGAAUGCCUGGGUUUUUUUUAGGGCUUUAGAAGGGCUCACAGGACAUUGUGUUUGCUGGGAACAGGCUCUCUGCAAAUGCUUGCACUGAGUAUGCGCCUUGUGUCAGCCUUAUGCUGUUUUCUUUCUUUGGCGUCUGAAUAUGAAUGUGUGGAUCUUUGCAUGGCUAAUGAGAAGUUACAUAAGGAAGGCUUCAGUAGGUAAUAUUUACAAGCAGGCUAAUUUUCUCAAUGAAAAUUUUAGGGUUUUCCUUUUUAAGAAAAAAAAAUUGUUCUCCUAGGCAUUGAUCUUAAAGCUUGCUGUGUAUUCUGAGGUUUCUUCACGUUAACUGUUACUAAGUUCAGAGAAAAACUGGCCCCAUGUUACCCUUCUCCUGAUCUUCUAAGUUCUCUGUGAAACUUUGAACUGAAGAAAGGAGACAGAAUCUGCCAAUAUGAUAGGACUCAAAUAUGGUUCCUGUGUGUUCCCAAGAGCCUGUGUGUGGGAAGUACAUAGAGGUGGGGGAAUGCUUGGUGGCCUCUCUGCCCUCAGACAGGACUAAGGUAAUUCGCAUGGGACCCAGAGACACUCGUGAGAGGGUACUUAUAGCAAGAGCAAAGCUGGUCCCUACCUUCUUUGUGAGCAUGUGAUCUCACCACUGUAGUGACACUGAGCCGAUGCUCGCUCUGUGCCC